rnacentral:rRNA from 1 species
AGUGAACGCUGGCGGUAGGCCUAACACAUGCAAGUCGAACGGCAGCACAGUAAGAGCUUGCUCUUACGGGUGGCGAGUGGCGGAUGGGUGAGGAAUACAUCGGAAUCUACUUUUUCGUGGGGGAUAACGUAGGGAAACUUACGCUAAUACCGCAUACGACCUACGGGUGAAAGCAGGGGAUCUUCGGACCUUGCGUGAUUGAAUGAGCCGAUGUCGGAUUAGCUAGUUGGCGGGGUAAAGGCCCACCAAGGCGACGAUCCGUAGCUGGUCUGAGAGGAUGAUCAGCCACACUGGAACUGAGACACGGUCCAGACUCCUACGGGAGGCAGCAGUGGGGAAUAUUGGACAAUGGGCGCAAGCCUGAUCCAGCCAUACCGCGUGGGUGAAGAAGGCCUUCGGGUUGUAAAGCCCUUUUGUUGGGAAAGAAAAGCAGCAGGAUAAUACCCCGCUGUUCUGACGGUACCCAAAGAAUAAGCACCGGCUAACUUCGUG